ACGGGUGAGUAAUACAUGGGAACAUGCCCUUAGAUGGGGAAUAACGUUUGGAAACGAACGCUAAUACCGCAUAAUCUCGCGAGAGUAAAGGUGGCGCCGCAAGGGCUACCGUCUAAGGAUUGGCCCAUGUCCCAUUAGCUAGUUGGCGGGGUAAUGGCCCACCAAGGCAACGAUGGGUAUGUGGUCUGAGAGGAUGAUCACACACACUGGAACUGAGACACGGUCCAGACUCCUACGGGAGGCAGCAGUAGGGAAUAUUGCACAAUGGGGGAAACCCUGAUGCAGCAACGCCGCGUGAGUGAAGAAGGCCCUUGGGUUGUAAAGCUCUUUAGCGAGGGAAGAAGGUAGAUAUGGUGAAUAAUCAUGUUUGCUGACGGUACCUCGAGAAUAAGCACCGGCUAAUUUCGUGCCAGCAGCCGCGGUAAUACGAAAGGUGCAAGCGUUACUCGGAAUCACUGGGCGUAAAGCGCACGUAGGCGGACUUACAGGUCAAUUGUGAAAUACCUGGGCUCAACCCGGGAACUGCAGUUGAAACCGUUUGUCUUGAAUACCUGAGAGGGUGGGGGAAUACCUGGU
rnacentral:rRNA from 1 species